GAUGAACGCUGGCGGCGUGCCUAAUACAUGCAAGUCGAGCGAACAGAUGAGGAGCUUGCUCCUCUGACGUUAGCGGCGGACGGGUGAGUAACACGUGGAUAACCUACCUAUAAGACUGGGAUAACUUCGGGAAACCGGAGCUAAUACCGGAUAAUAUAUUGAACCGCAUGGUUCAAUAGUGAAAGACGGUUUUGCUGUCACUUAUAGAUGGAUCCGCGCCGCAUUAGCUAGUUGGUAAGGUAACGGCUUACCAAGGCAACGAUGCGUAGCCGACCUGAGAGGGUGGUCGCCCACACUGGAACUGGGCCACGGUCCAGACUCCUACGGGAGGCAGCAGUAGGGAAUCUUCCGCAAUGGGCGAAAGCCUGACGGAGCAACGCCGCGUGAGUGAUGAAGGUCUUCGGAUCGUAAAACUCUGUUAUUAGGGAAGAACAAAUGUGUAAGUAACUAUGCACGUCUUGACGGUACCUAAUCAGAAAGCCACGGCUAACUACGUG
rnacentral:rRNA from 1 species